rnacentral:lncRNA from 1 species
CUCGGCCUGCCAAAGUGCUGGGAUUACAGGCGUGAGCCACCACGCCGGGCCUUUCCCCGGGAAUGCUGUGGUAGAGGGACCCGCAGAGGCCCCGAGGCUGCCUGCAUGUGUGUGUUGGGAGGAUCUGCGCUGAGGGUGAUUCCUGCGUGGAUGCCUGCGGGGAUUCCUGCGUGGAUUGGGGAAGUCCUGCAGCAUUACAGAAUUGUUACCCAACGCCAGGGCCUUGGUCCAGAGUCCUGUUGCUAGAUGCACAGAAAGCAAAUCACUGAGAUCUGGGUCAGGGCUUGUCUGAUGUGGGGAAAGCGGACUGCCCCCAGUGGAUUCAGACGUCACUUCAUGGCAUGAGACCAGCAUUACCCACAAUGGCAGUGGCAGCAGAUGGAGGAGAUGGAGCAGAAGGCAGCAGAGGGCGUCCCAGGUAGUACGGGCAAGCCACCUUGUGCAUGACUUGUGUCUUAGGUGUGACUGUGUGUCCUGGGAUCAGUUCUGGGUGGUCAGAAAAGUUUGAAGCCAGAUGACUCCACUGUCAAAAAACCUCUGUAGAGUUUUCUAAAGGUGAAAGUAUCCAGAUGAAGCAGGGCUCCUUGAAGGAAUGGCUGCUUCUGGAGUUGGAGCAGGGGAGAUACAAGAUGAGCCUGGAGCUGCUUGUAGCACCAGAGGGGAAGGAGGUGGUCACAACCCAAGAGGCUGGGACAUCUUACAUGGGCUUCUGAGCCCGAGCCUCAGACAAACCACACGACCUUGGAUUACAGCCCCUGGAGUCAAAUAAAUAUACCUGAGUCCGUAGUGACCUAAAUAAACAAUUCAAGAGAUGAAUCUUUCUUACAGAAUUCCAGGAAAUAGAUGUAGAUACUGCUGUUAGCCAAGAAUACGGUAUCCAGCUAAGACUAUGCUUCGUAGAUGAAGAAAUAAAGCCUUUCCCAGACAAGCAAAGGCUGGGGGAAUUUAUCACUACUAGAUCAGUCCUGCAAGAAAUGCUCAAAGGAGUCUUAACAUAAAAACAAGUUGGUAUUUGCCAUAAUACACACAAAAGUACAAAACUCACAGGCCCUAUAAAACAAUCAUACAAAGGAGGAAGAGAAAGGUAUCAAAUGGCAAUACAACAAAAUUCCACCAAACCACAAAUGGAAUAAGAAAAGAAUGUAUAAAAUAACUAGAUAAUAACUAACAAUAUGAUAGAGCAGCAUACAGCUUAAUUACCUCCACCUGGUGAGGGUGGGGUAGGCUUAGAGACUUGCUUCCAAAUAAUAAAGAAACAAACAAUAGUAGCUUCCCAGGGAAACCCUGGCAGAUACCGUCCUGACCCGGUAGUGAAGGUUCCACUCACUAGCCACGUGUGCAUCUCAGGUGCCCCAGAUGUGGUGUGAGAGGCAGGCUCACCUCUGUGGGAUUCUCUCCUAAAACCAGUAACCUUUCUUUAAUCAUGAGAAAUACACCAGAUGACCUGAGGCUGGGGAUGUUCUACAGGAGACCUGUCCAGCACUCCUUAAGCUGAGAGGGUUAUUAAUGCAAGGUGGGACCCUGGCUUGGAUCCUGGGGCCGAAAGAGGAUGUCAGUGGAAAAACAGCAAAAUCCAAAUAAAGUCUAGAGUGUAGUUAAUAGUAAAGCACUGCUGUCACUUUUUUUUUUUUUUUAUGGGUCAGGAGAUCCUUCCACCUCAGCCUCCCGAGC